AAUUCUAUUUUGGACGUUUCCUCAAAUGUCCUCACUUAGAAUACUUCCAAUGGACUUACUUUUCUUGUUGCUGCUCAUGAAGUUAUACUGAUUAUAUUGACCAGGUAGGCUAUUGGGUUUUGGUUAAUUAAUCUGGAUAGCCCCAGUACCUAACACCAUGCCUGGCAUUAAGUAAAUAUUUUAAAAAUAAGUCAAAUAUGUUUAAAACAUCCAAAGUUGCCCUCAUGCAUAGCGUAUAACUUACAUCUUUUUAUUGUUACCAUGGCAUUAAUAUACUAACCCACUGUUAUUCUGUUGCAUGUCCAUAAUACAGACAAUAUGUUUUCCUCAGAAUUAAAAACUAUUUUAAAUUUUAGAAUAAAGUCUAAAUUAUAUUGUACCAAAUUCUGAUCAGAGGGAAUGUAAAAAUGGCUAGGUAUCUGACCACAUCCAUCCAGAUAAUCUGGUGCAUCUCAGUUAGGUCAGUACUCAUGGGAAGCGUGUUGACUCAUUUUUGGUUUUAUAAAUAAGAAAAUAUAUGCACAAAGGGAGCUUCAUGUCCUGUAAAAGAAGUCAAAUAUGUUUAAAACAUCCAAAGUUGCCCUCAUGCAUAGCGUAUAACUUACAUCUUUUUAUUGUUACCAUGGCAUUAAUAUACUAACCCACUGUUAUUCUGUUGCAUGUCCAUAAUACAGACAAUAUGUUUUCCUCAGAAUUAAAAACUAUUUUAAAUUUUAGAAUAAAGUCUAAAUUAUAUUGUACCAAAUUCUGAUCAGAGGAAUGUAAAAUGGCUAGGUAUCUGACCACAUCCAUCCAGAUAAUCUGGUGCAUCUCAGUUAGGUCAGUACUCAUGGGAAGCGUGUUGACUCAUUUUUGGUUUUAUAAAUAAGAAAAUAUAUGCACAAAGGGAGCUUCAUGUCCUGUAAAAGUCGAACUGAAAAUUAAUGAAAACGAACACUGAAUUUAACUUUAUUUCCUUAGUAAAAAGUACCUAACU
rnacentral:lncRNA from 1 species